ACACCCAGUUUUCUAUAUACAUCAAGAAUAAACACGCAACAAAUUCAAAUGAGCAUAGAUGAGGGACGAAGCUAUACUGGCCCAGAACUAUUAUUGAUCUAAAUAUAUGUUUUACUAGACUAAGAUACACAUCAUAUAUGACUGGAUAAAUAGGCUGACUAAUACACAAAACUGUGUCAUGUAAUUCAAUCUAGAUGAACGAAAAAAUAUAGACCCCUCUUUCGCUUCCAAAAAAACUACUCUAGCAAUACUAAAAAUCCACGACAAUGUUAAGCUGUGUGAUGGGGUUCAUGUCGAUCUUCCACAACGAUAAGUUGUCAAUGCAUUACGAAGACUUGACCAGAGAUGAACCAUAACCAUUAAGGUGUGAUUUCUGCCAUCUCCAUGCAACCUGCAAACUCUCUUGAAGAUCAGUGUGUUGGGCUGUCCAGUUCAGUUCAAGUUUUAUCUUAGUAGGAUCACUAAAGACUUCUGCAUAAUCACCAGGGCGACGAGGAAGGAAGUCAACUUUGAUAGGAACUCCAGUGGCUGCCUUGCAAGCCUCCACAAAUUCCUUCACUGAUCUACCUCUUCCGGUUCCAACAUUGUAGAUUCCCACCUUCCCAGGCCUAGACUUUUCAAGAGCUUUCACAUGAGCAUCAACCAGAUCAGUGACAUCUAUAUAAUCCCUAAUGCAUGUACCAUCUGUUGUCUUAUAGUCUGUUCCUCUAACCUUGAGACCAGGUAUGAUUCCACGAGCUGCAUCAUAACAAGCACCAGAAAUUCGCCCAUGUUCACGAAGUUCAGGCCGGGGAGCUUCUCCUAGUCUUCCCUCUGGAUCAGAUCCAAUCACAUUGAAGUACCUCAAAAUCAUGACAGCCAUGUUUGAGUUCUUAUGGAAAUCCAAAAUAAUAUCCUCUGCCAUUUUCUUCGCUUUUCCAUAUGGAUUAAUAGGGAGCUGUGGAGUUUCUUCGGUAAUAGGCAUCUUUUCAGGCUCUCCAUAUGUCGCACAUGUACUAGAGUAAAUCAAUGUGGGGACUCCAUGAGCUGACAUAGCUUCUAAGACAGUGAGCGUAUUUGAAGUAAUGUUGUGAUAGUACUUUAGAGGAUCGAGGGUGCUCUCUCCGACAUAUGCUACAGCUGCAAAAUGCAUCACAGCAUCAAAAGCAUUCUGGGAGAAUAUCUGGUGGACCACUUUUGCAUCCCCCAAGUCAGCAUAUAUAAACUGAAGCCUCCCUGGUUCAGGAAAUAAUUC
rnacentral:misc_RNA from 1 species